CCGGCAAAUGCUGUGCAUCAAUAUAACACGCCAUCGGCAAUGGUAGCUGGAUAACAGAGCCUGGGGGCACUAAAGUGGGCAGACAUGUGACACUUGGCGUUACGCCAGGGAGGAAUAUGUCAGCGUGUCUCGGCUGAUGUCAUCAGUAAUUAGUAAAUAUUCUGGAAACAUCAACAUUCUCAGAAAUCAAAUGAAAAUCUAUGAACCAUAAGAAAGAAGGAAAUGUCGCUGUGGAGGAGGCUCUGAAGUCAUGAACAGGUGGACUGUGACUGCGGAAAAAGCACUAUGGCUACUAAAGGAAUAUGGUGGCAGGAAGAGAUCAAUGGCUUUUAAGAAUCUUCUGCUUCUUGAGAAAACUUCCGCCCUGUACCCAGGUGAAGACUCUUUUCUACAGACUGAAACCUCUUACAUAUGAUGCAAAUAACAGCUCGCGCCGAAAGGAAAUUUGUUUCUGACAGCUAAAUCUCACGUUUGCCAUCGGAUCAGAGGAGUGAACUUAAAUGCAAAUAAAACUAUUCAU